CAUGCAGUCGAGCGGUAAGGCCCUUCGGGGUACACGAGCGGCGAACGGGUGAGUAACACGUGGGUGAUCUGCCCUGUACUUCGGGAUAAGCCUGGGAAACUGGGUCUAAUACCGGAUAUGACCUUACAUCGCAUGGUGUUUGGUGGAAAGAUUUAUCGGUACAGGAUGGGCCCGCGGCCUAUCAGCUUGUUGGUGGGGUAAUGGCCUACCAAGGCGACGACGGGUAGCCGGCCUGAGAGGGCGACCGGCCACACUGGGACUGAGACACGGCCCAGACUCCUACGGGAGGCAGCAGUGGGGAAUAUUGCACAAUGGGCGAAAGCCUGAUGCAGCGACGCCGCGUGAGGGAUGACGGCCUUCGGGUUGUAAACCUCUUUCGACAGGGACGAAGCGCAAGUGACGGUACCUGUAGAAGAAGCACCGGCCAACUACGUGCCAGCAGCCGCGGUAAUACGUAGGGUGCGAGCGUUGUCCGGAAUUACUGGGCGUAAAGAGCUUGUAGGCGGUUUGUCGCGUCGUCCGUGAAAACUUGGGGCUCAACUCCCAAGCUUGCGGGCGAUACGGGCAGACUUGAGUACUGCAGGGGAGACUGGAAUUCCUGGUGUAGCGGUGAAAUGCGCAGAUAUCAGGAGGAACACCGGUGGCGAAGGCGGGUCUCUGGGCAGUAACUGACGCUGAGAAGCGAAAGCGUGGGUAGCGAACAGGAUUAGAUACCCUGG
rnacentral:rRNA from 1 species